CCAGGUUCCAGGCGGUGCGGUUCUUCUGCCGCUGCAGGCCGGGCCGCUGACUCUAACCUUCCGUCUAACCUUGCGGGCCUCGCAGACUGGGCGCGGAGCCCCAGGAGCUGGAGCAGCGGUUGGUACUAAGAAGUGCCUUUCCUGACGUCUCUGCUGCUUGGAACCGCUUCUAGAGCAGCCUCUGCUUUUGCCUUGCUUGCUGCCAGCUAGACUGUGACGACAGCACAUCCGCCCUCCACCUCUAGCCCAGACACCCCCAUUUCUACUUCUAAUCAGGAGAAAAGCUCUGAGUAUCUGCCAUUGCCCUAGGCUGCUUUAGUUUAGAAGAAAAGUUUGCUGAAAAAGUAAGAUACCUUCUGCCAGGAAAUCAAGGAGGAAAAAAAAAUCAUUUUCUCGAUUUUGCUCUAAAC
rnacentral:lncRNA from 1 species